AGCGAACGCUGGCGGCAGGCCUAACACAUGCAAGUCGAACGCCCCUUCGGGGGAGUGGCGGACGGGUGAGUAACGCGUGGGAACGUGCCCUUUGGUACGGAACAACUGAGGGAAACUUCAGCUAAUACCGUAUGUGCCCUACGGGGGAAAGAUUUAUCGCCAUUGGAGCGGCCCGCGUUGGAUUAGCUAGUUGGUGGGGUAAAGGCCCACCAAGGCUACGAUCCAUAGCUGGUCUGAGAGGAUGAUCAGCCACACUGGGACUGAGACACGGCCCAGACUCCUACGGGAGGCAGCAGUGGGGAAUCUUGCGCAAUGGGCGAAAGCCUGACGCAGCCAUGCCGCGUGAAUGAUGAAGGUCUUAGGAUUGUAAAAUUCUUUCACCGGGGAAGAUAAUGACGGUACCCGGAGAAGAAGCCCCGGCUAACUUCGUGCCAGCAGCCGCAGUAAAAC
rnacentral:rRNA from 1 species